rnacentral:lncRNA from 1 species
UUGAUAAUGGUUACGACAAGCGCACAAAUAAAAACGAAAAUAGUGAUCGCAAAGUAGACAAAUCACGAAACAGUAAGAAAAAGAAAAAUUGAACACAAGAAUUUAUGCAGAAAAUUCUUCAAAGAAAAAAAAAAUGACAAGCGAAGCAGGAGAGAACUUUCACUAUAUGAAAAAGGAGUAUAAUUUUUACAAGAAUAAUUUCAUUAUAUCGCCUCUAGGGUAAAAAGAAGGAAGAAGUUUCUUAACGGAAUUCUCUACUAUUGGGUUCGGGCUUAUCGGCCUAAUCCUUUCGCUACCCACUGCAGGCAUUCAUUUUUUUUCUUAUAAUUUUUCUUUUCAAAAUUUGUCACACUGUAAAGCUGUCGGCGAAUUAGGAGCACAAAAUCGAACUCAGAAAUCAAAUUUUGAGGUACAUCUAACAAUAAUUAUAAUGUUCUUAG